rnacentral:rRNA from 1 species
AGGGCGCACGGUGGAUGCCUUGGCACUAGAAGCCGAUGAAGGACGUUACUAACGACGAUAUGCUUUGGGGAGCUGUAAGUAAGCUUUGAUCCAGAGAUUUCCGAAUGGGGAAACCCAGCAUGAGUUAUGUCAUGUUAUCGAUAUGUGAAUACAUAGCAUAUCAGAAGGCACACCCGGAGAACUGAAACAUCUUAGUACCCGGAGGAAGAGAAAGAAAAUUCGAUUCCCUUAGUAGCGGCGAGCGAAACGGGAAGAGCCCAAACCAACAAGCUUGCUUGUUGGGGUUGUAGGACACUCUGUACGGAGUUACAAAGGACGACAUUAGACGAAUCAUCUGGAAAGAUGAAUCAAAGAAGGUAAUAAUCCUGUAGUCGAAAAUGUUGUCUCUCUUGAGUGGAUCCUGAGUACGACGGAGCACGUGAAAUUCCGUCGGAAUCUGGGAGGACCAUCUCCUAAGGCUAAAUACUCUCUAGUGACCGAUAGUGAACCAGUACCGUGAGGGAAAGGUGAAAAGCACCCCGGAAGGGGAGUGAAAUAGAACCUGAAACCGUGUGCUUACAAGUAGUCAGAGCCCGUUAAUGGGUGAUGGCGUGCCUUUUGUAGAAUGAACCGGCGAGUUACGAUUUGAUGCAAGGUUAAGCAGUAAAUGUGGAGCCGUAGCGAAAGCGAGUCUGAAUAGGGCGUUUAGUAUUUGGUCGUAGACCCGAAACCAGGUGAUCUACCCUUGGUCAGGUUGAAGUUCAGGUAACACUGAAUGGAGGACCGAACCGACUUACGUUGAAAAGUGAGCGGAUGAACUGAGGGUAGCGGAGAAAUUCCAAUCGAACCUGGAGAUAGCUGGUUCUCUCCGAAAUAGCUUUAGGGCUAGCCUCAAGUGAUGAUUAUUGGAGGUAGAGCACUGUUUGGACGAGGGGCCCCUCUCGGGUUACCGAAUUCAGACAAACUCCGAAUGCCAAUUAAUUUAACUUGGGAGUCAGAACAUGGGUGAUAAGGUCCGUGUUCGAAAGGGAAACAGCCCAGACCACCAGCUAAGGUCCCAAAAUAUAUGUUAAGUGGAAAAGGAUGUGGCGUUGCCCAGACAACUAGGAUGUUGGCUUAGAAGCAGCCAUCAUUUAAAGAGUGCGUAAUAGCUCACUAGUCGAGUGACACUGCGCCGAAAAUGUACCGGGGCUAAACAUAUUACCGAAGCUGUGGAUUGUCCUUUGGACAAUGGUAGGAGAGCGUUCUAAGGGCGUUGAAGCAUGAUCGUAAGGACAUGUGGAGCGCUUAGAAGUGAGAAUGCCGGUGUGAGUAGCGAAAGACGGGUGAGAAUCCCGUCCACCGAUUGACUAAGGUUUCCAGAGGAAGGCUCGUCCGCUCUGGGUUAGUCGGGUCCUAAGCUGAGGCCGACAGGCGUAGGCGAUGGAUAACAGGUUGAUAUUCCUGUACCACCUAUAAUCGUUUUAAUCGAUGGGGGGACGCAGUAGGAUAGGCGAAGCGUGCGAUUGGAUUGCACGUCUAAGCAGUAAGGCUGAGUAUUAGGCAAAUCCGGUACUCGUUAAGGCUGAGCUGUGAUGGGGAGAAGACAUUGUGUCUUCGAGUCGUUGAUUUCACACUGCCGAGAAAAGCCUCUAGAUAGAAAAUAGGUGCCCGUACCGCAAACCGACACAGGUAGUCAAGAUGAGAAUUCUAAGGUGAGCGAGCGAACUCUCGUUAAGGAACUCGGCAAAAUGACCCCGUAACUUCGGGAGAAGGGGUGCUCUUUAGGGUUAACGCCCAGAAGAGCCGCAGUGAAUAGGCCCAAGCGACUGUUUAUCAAAAACACAGGUCUCUGCUAAACCGUAAGGUGAUGUAUAGGGGCUGACGCCUGCCCGGUGCUGGAAGGUUAAGAGGAGUGGUUAGCUUCUGCGAAGCUACGAAUCGAAGCCCCAGUAAACGGCGGCCGUAACUAUAACGGUCCUAAGGUAGCGAAAUUCCUUGUCGGGUAAGUUCCGACCCGCACGAAAGGCGUAACGAUUUGGGCACUGUCUCAACGAGAGACUCGGUGAAAUCAUAGUACCUGUGAAGAUGCAGGUUACCCGCGACAGGACGGAAAGACCCCGUGGAGCUUUACUGUAGCCUGAUAUUGAAAUUCGGCACAGCUUGUACAGGAUAGGUAGGAGCCUUUGAAACGUGAGCGCUAGCUUACGUGGAGGCGCUGGUGGGAUACUACCCUAGCUGUGUUGGCUUUCUAACCCGCACCACUUAUCGUGGUGGGAGACAGUGUCAGGCGGGCAGUUUGACUGGGGCGGUCGCCUCCUAAAAGGUAACGGAGGCGCUCAAAGGUUCCCUCAGAAUGGUUGGAAAUCAUUCAUAGAGUGUAAAGGCAUAAGGGAGCUUGACUGCGAGACCUACAAGUCGAGCAGGGUCGAAAGACGGACUUAGUGAUCCGGUGGUUCCGCAUGGAAGGGCCAUCGCUCAACGGAUAAAAGCUACCCCGGGGAUAACAGGCUUAUCUCCCCCAAGAGUUCACAUCGACGGGGAGGUUUGGCACCUCGAUGUCGGCUCAUCGCAUCCUGGGGCUGUAGUCGGUCCCAAGGGUUGGGCUGUUCGCCCAUUAAAGCGGUACGCGAGCUGGGUUCAGAACGUCGUGAGACAGUUCGGUCCCUAUCCGUCGUGGGCGUAGGAAAUUUGAGAGGAGCUGUCCUUAGUACGAGAGGACCGGGAUGGACAUACCUCUGGUGUACCAGUUGUCGUGCCAACGGCAUAGCUGGGUAGCUAUGUGUGGACGGGAUAAGUGCUGAAAGCAUCUAAGCAUGAAGCCCCCCUCAAGAUGAGAUUUCCCAACUUCGGUUAU